rnacentral:rRNA from 1 species
CCUACGGGAGGCUGCAGUCGAGAAUCUUCCGCAAUGCACGAAAGUGUGACGGAGCGACGCCGCGUGGUUGAUGAAGCACUUCGGUGCGUAAAGACCUUUUAUGGGGGAAGAAGUUUUGACGGUACCCCAUGAAUAAGAGGCUGCUAAUCUCGUGCCAGCAGCAGCGGUAACACGAGAGCCUCGAGCGUUAUCCGGAAUUAUUGGGCGUAAAGGGUGUGUAGGCGGACGUAUUAGUCUCAUGUAAAAGCCUCUGGCCUAACCAGAGAUCCGCAUGGGAAACGGUACGACUAGGAGGGUGCGAGGGGUGAAUGGAACUCACGGUGUAGGGGUGAAAUCCGUUGAUAUCGUGGGGAACGCCGAAAGCGAAGGCAAUUCACUGGCGCAUACCUGACGCUGAGACACGAAAGCCAGGGUAUCGAAUGGGAUUAGAUACCCUGGUA